GACGAACGCUGGCGGCGUGCCUAAUACAUGCAAGUAGAACGCUGAAGGAGGAGCUUGCUUCCCUGGAUGAGUUGCGAACGGGUGAGUAACGCGUAGGUAACCUGCCUGGUAGCGGGGGAUAACUAUUGGAAACGAUAGCUAAUACCGCAUAAUAGUAGAUGUUGCAUGACAUUUGCUUAAAAGGUGCAAUUGCCUCACUACCAGAUGGACCUGCGUUGUAUUAGCUAGUUGGUGGGGUAACGGCUCACCAAGGCGACGAUACAUAGCCGACCUGAGAGGGUGAUCGGCCACACUGGGACUGAGACACGGCCCAGACUCCUACGGGAGGCAGCAGUAGGGAAUCUUCGGCAAUGGACGGAAGUCUGACCGAGCAACGCCGCGUGAGUGAAGAAGGGUUUCGGAUCGUAAAGAUCUGUUGUAAGAGAAGAACGAGUGUGAGAGUGGAAAGUUCACACUGUGACGGUAGCUUACCAGAAAGGGACGGCUAACUACGUG
rnacentral:rRNA from 1 species